rnacentral:ncRNA from 2 species
GUGGAGGGCCGCGACUGGCGCCAACGAGGUGGAACCGACCACCGUGGAGCGGCCCGGAUCAUCAGCAGUGGGCACCGUGCGCCUGGGUGACCGCC